rnacentral:rRNA from 1 species
UGGCAGCCUCGCUGUCCGAGUUGUAAUUUGAAGAAGGUAUCUUUGGGUCUGGCGCUUGUCUAUGUUCCUUGGAACAGGACGUCACAGAGGGUGAGAAUCCCGUGCGACGGGCUGCCCAGAUCCGUGUAAAGUUCCUUCGAAGAGUCGAGUUGUUUGGGAAUGCAGCUCUAAGUGGGUGGUAAAUUCCAUCUAAAGCUAAAUAUUGGCGAGAGACCGAUAGCGAACAAGUACAGUGAUGGAAAGAUGAAAAGAACUUUGAAAAGAGAGUGAAAAAGUACGUGAAAUUGUUGAAAGGGAAGGGCAUGCGAUCAGACUUGGUAUUUUGUACGUCUUGUCUUCGGGCGGGGCCUCUGCAGCUUGCUGGGCCAGCAUCGGUUCGGGUGGCAGGACAAUUGCGGAGAAAUGUGGCACGGCCUCGGCUGUGUGUUAUAGUCUCUGUCGAUACUGCCUGCCUGGACCGAGGACUGCGUCUUUUACGACUAGGAUGCUGGCAUAAUGAUCGUACGCCGCCC